rnacentral:rRNA from 1 species
UACGUAGGGUCCGCGCGUUGUCCGGAAUUAUUGGGCGUAAAGGGCUCGUAGGCGGUUUGUCGCGUCGGGAGUGAAAACCUACAGCUUAACUGUGGGCUUGCUUUCGAUACGGGCAGACUUGAGGCAUGCAGGGGAGAACGGAAUUCCUGGUGUAGCGGUGAAAUGCGCAGAUAUCAGGAGGAGCACCAAUAGCGAAGGCAGCUCGCUGGGACGUUACUGACACUGAGGCGCGAAAGCGUGGGGAGCGAACAGG